CGCGUCUGCUGUGAAAACCCGAGGCUCAACCUCGGGCCUGCAGUGGGUACGGGCAGACUAGAGUGCGGUAGGGGAGAAUGGAAUUCCUGGUGUAGCGGUGGAAUGCGCAGAUAUCAGGAGGAACACCGAUGGCGAAGGCAGUUCUCUGGGCCGUAACUGACGCUGAGGAGCGAAAGCGUGGGGAGCGAACAGGAUUAGAUACCCUGGUAGUCCACGCCGUAAACGUUGGGCGCUAGAUGUGGGGACCAUUCCACGGUUUCCGUGUCGCAGCUAACGCAUUAAGCGCCCCGCCUGGGGAGUACGGCCGCAAGGCUAAAACUCAAAGGAAUUGACGGGGGCCCCGCACAAGCG
rnacentral:rRNA from 1 species